UGGGGAAUAUUGGACAAUGGGGGGAACCCUGAUCCAGCCAUGCCGCGUGUGUGAAGAAGGCCUUAUGGUUGUAAAGCACUUUAAGCGAGGAGGAGGCUCUCUUGGUUAAUACCCAAGAUGAGUGGACGUUACUCGCAGAAUAAGCACCGGCUAACUCUGUGCCAGCAGCCGCGGUAAUACAGAGGGUGCGAGCGUUAAUCGGAUUUACUGGGCGUAAAGCGUGCGUAGGCGGCUUUUUAAGUCGGAUGUGAAAUCCCCGAGCUUAACUUGGGAAUUGCAUUCGAUACUGGGGAGCUAGAAUAUGGGAGAGGAUGGUAGAAUUCCAGAUGUAGCAGUGAGAUGCGUAGAGUUCUGGAGGAAUACCGAUGGCGAAGACAGCCAUCUGGCCUAAUACUGACGCUGAGGUACGAAAGCAUAGGGAGCAAACAGG
rnacentral:rRNA from 1 species